rnacentral:rRNA from 1 species
AUUGAACGCUGGCGGCAGGCCUAACACAUGCAAGUCGAACGGUAACAGGAAGCAGCUUGCUGCUUCGCUGACGAGUGGCGGACGGGUGAGUAAUGUCUGGGAAACUGCCUGAUGGAGGGGGAUAACUACUGGAAACGGUAGCUAAUACCGCAUAACGUCGCAAGACCAAAGAGGGGGACCUUAUGGCCUCUUGCCAUCGUAUGUGCCCAGAUGGGAUUAUCUAGUAGGUGGGGUAACGGCUCACCUAGGCGACGAUCCCUAGCUGGUCUGAGAGGAUGACCAGCAAAACUGGAACUGAGAAACGGUCAAGACUCCGACGGGAGGCAGCAGUGGGGAAUAUUGCACAAUGGGCGCAAGCCUGAUGCAGCCAUGCCGCGUGUAUGAAGAAGGCCUUCGGGUUGUAAAGUACUUUCAGCGGGGAGGAAGGGAGUAAAGUUAAUACCUUUGCUCAUUGACGUACCCGCAGAAGAAGCACCGGCUAACUCCGUG